rnacentral:rRNA from 1 species
GNNNACANGCGNAGGUGCUUGCACCUUUCAGUGAGUGGCGAACGGGUGAGUAACACGUGGACAACCUGCCUCAAGGCUGGGGAUAACAUUUGGAAACAGAUGCUAAUACCGAAUAAAACUUAGUGUCGCAUGACACAAAGUUAAAAGGCGCUUCGGCGUCACCUAGAGAUGGAUCCGCGGUGCAUUAGUUAGUUGGUGGGGUAAAGGCCUACCAAGACAAUGAUGCAUAGCCGAGUUGAGAGACUGAUCGGCCACAUUGGGACUGAGACACGGCCCAAACUCCUACGGGAGGCUGCAGUAGGGAAUCUUCCACAAUGGGCGAAAGCCUGAUGGAGCAACGCCGCGUGUGUGAUGAAGGCUUUCGGGUCGUAAAGCACUGUUGUAUGGGAAGAACAGCUAGAAUAGGAAAUGAUUUUAGUUUGACGGUACCAUACCAGAAAGGGACGGCUAAAUACGUGCCAGCAGCCGCGGUAAUACGUAUGUCCCGAGCGUUAUCCGGAUUUAUUGGGCGUAAAGCGAGCGCAGACGGUUUAUUAAGUCUGAUGUGAAAGCCCGGAGCUCAACUCCGGAAUGGCAUUGGAAACUGGUUAACUUGAGUGCAGUAGAGGUAAGUGGAACUCCAUGUGUAGCGGUGAAAUGGCGUAAAAUCAAA